rnacentral:rRNA from 1 species
CCUACGGGAGACAGCAGUGAGGAAUAUUGGUCAAUGGACGGAAGUCUGAACCAGCCAAGCCGCGUGCAGGAAGACGGCCCUAUGAGUUGUAAACUUCUUUUGUACGAGGAUAAACGCAGAUACGCGUAUCUUUCUGCAUGUACCUUACGAAUAAGCAUCGGCUAACUCCGUGCCAGCAGCCGCGGUAAUACGGAGGAUGCGAGCGUUAUCCGGAUUUAUUGGGUUUAAAGGGUGCGUAGGCGGUCUUUUAAGUUAGUGGUUAAACGCCGGGGCUUAACUUGGAUUUGCCUUUGAUACUGUUAGGCUAGAGAUCAGUUGCGGUAGGCGGAAUGAGUUGUGUAGCGGUGAAAUGCUUAGAGAUAACAUAGAACUCCGAUAGCGAAGGCAGCUUACCAGGCUGCGUCUGACGUUGAGGCACGAGAGCGUGGGUAGCGAACAGGAUUAGAUACCCCAGUAGUC